rnacentral:rRNA from 1 species
AGAUUGAACGCUGGCGGCAUGCCUUACACAUGCAAGUCGAACGGCAGCACGGGAGCAAUCCUGGUGGCGAGUGGCGAACGGGUGAGUAAUAUAUCGGAACGUGCCCAGUCGUGGGGGAUAACGUAGAGAAAUUUACGCUAAUACCGCAUACGAUCCAAGGAUGAAAGCGGGGGACCGUAAGGCCUCGCGCGACU